GACGAACGCUGGCGGUGUGCUUCACACAUGCAAGUCGAACGAGGUAGCAAUACCUAGUGGCGGACGGGUGAGUAACGCGUGGAAUCUGCCUUUAGAUGGGGGAUAACGGGUCGAAAGACUCGCUAAUACCGCAUAUGACGAAAGUUGAAAGGAGUAAUCCGUCUAAAGAUGAGCCCGCGUCCGAUUAGCUAGUUGGUAGAGUAAAAGCCUACCAAGGCGACGAUCGGUAGCUGGUCUGAGAGGAUGAUCAGCCACAAUGGGACUGAGACACGGCCCAUACUCCUAC
rnacentral:rRNA from 1 species